ACGGGUGAGUAACACGUGGGUAAUCUGCCCUGCACUCUGGGAUAAGCCCGGGAAACUGGGUCUAAUACCGGAUAUGACCUCCAGUCGCAUGGUUGGGGGUGGAAAGUUCCGGCGGUGCAGGAUGAACCCGCGGCCUAUCAGCUUGUUGGUGGGGUAAUGGCCUACCAAGGCGACGACGGGUAGCCGGCCUGAGAGGGCGACCGGCCACACUGGGACUGAGACACGGCCCAGACUCCUACGGGAGGCAGCAGUGGGGAAUAUUGCGCAAUGGGCGAAAGCCUGACGUAGCGACGCCGCGUGAGGGAUGACGGCCUUCGGGUUGUAAACCUCUUUCGCCAGGGACGAAGAGCAAUUGACGGUACCUGGAGAAGAAGCACCGGCUAACUACGUGCCAGCAGCCGCGGUAAUACGUAGGGUGCGAGCGUUGUCCGGAAUUAUUGGGCGUAAAGAGCUCGUAGGCGGUUUGUUGCGUCGGCCGUGAAAACUUCACGCUUAACGUGGAGCUUGCGGUCGAUACGGGCAGACUUGAGUUCGGUAGGGGAGACUGGAAUUCCUGGUGUAGCGGUGAAAUGCGCAGA
rnacentral:rRNA from 1 species